rnacentral:rRNA from 1 species
GUCCUUUUGAUUAUGAUUUAAGGUCGGGCCUGCCCAAUGAGACAUUGAAUGGCCGCAGUAAUUUGACUGUGCUAAGGUAGCAUAAUCAUUAGUUUCUUAAUUAGGAACUGGAAUGAAAGGUUUGAUGAGGGAAUGGCUGUCUCCGAUAUUAUUAUAGAAUUUUAUCUUUGAGUAAAAAAGCUUAAAUGUUUUUGAAAGACGAGAAGACCCUAUAGAGUUUAAUAAGAUGGCUCUGUUGAACAAUUUUGUAACUUAUCCGGUUCAAUAGCUAGUUUUAUUUAGUUGGGGUGAUUGUAAAAUUAAUUUAACUUUUACUUGACUAUUACACUGAUGAGUGUUUGAUUGAUCCAGCAGAUGUUGAUUAAAAGACUAAAUUACCUUAGGGAUAACAGCGUAAUCUUUUUUUAGAGUUCUGAUCGAUAAAAUGGGUUGCGACCUCGAUGUUGGAUUAAAAUUUACUUAGGGUGCAGUAGCUCUUGAGUUAGGUCUGUUCGACCUUUAAAAUUUUACA